rnacentral:sRNA from 1 species
UUCCUGUAAAGACCCAGCCCUUCCCUCCUCCAUGAAACCUGGAUUCCUCCAAGGCGAAGGCCCCCCUCUCUGGGGUCUCAGCCUCCAGCGCUGACAUCCUAGGCCGCCUCGACAGGUGGGCUCACCAUCCAACCCUUCCUCCUCCCCCUUCAGCCCCCUCCUCCUGCUCUUCAACUGAGGUUCGCCUUCCCAGCUCCCCCACGCCCUGCACAGUGCUGAUCAGUAAAAGAGGAGGACACUGACGAGUGGCGACUUGGUUCACGGGGUUCUUUGCUUCCUCGGUGGCGGAGGGGCCUGGGGCCUCUCUCCAGCACCUCUGCUCUUCCGCAGCCAUCGAGUUGAUCAAGGACCUGGUCGGUUACGAUGUGCGCCAGGCGCUGCUCAAAGGCCUCGUGGCGCUGCUGAUACCGUCGGUCAAGGAGACCUCCAAACUGCAGGCCAAGAUCCUCAGUGGUAAGGACCUGCUCAAAUGGGGCUGCCUGGGCCACGGGAGGGCGGUCUCUUGCCUCACGGCUGCCCCCUCCUCAGACCCCUCGGUUCUCCAGCUCACCCCCAGCCUGCCGAUGUUUUUGCAGCAGGCCGCGGCC